GCUGGGUGUGGUGGUGCAAGCCUGUAAUCCCAGUGACUCAGAAGGCUGAGGCAGGAGGAUUACGAGUUCAAAACCUCAGCAAAAGUGAGGCAAUAAGCAACUCAGUAAGACCCUGUCUCUA
rnacentral:sRNA from 1 species